UGCAGCAGAUGGAGGUGUUGUGU
rnacentral:misc_RNA from 1 species